rnacentral:rRNA from 1 species
GGGAAGCUUGCUUCUCGGGUGGCGAGUGGCGAACGGGUGAGUAACAUAUCGGAACGUACCGGGUAGCGGGGGAUAACUGAUCGAAAGAUCAGCUAAUACCGCAUACGUCUUGAGAGGGAAAGCAGGGGACCUUCGGGCCUUGCGCUAUCCGAGCGGCCGAUAUCUGAUUAGCUGGUUGGCGGGGUAAAGGCCCACCAAGGCGACGAUCAGUAGCGGGUCUGAGAGGAUGAUCCGCCACACUGGGACUGAGACACGGCCCAGACUCCUACGGGAGGCAGCAGUGGGGAAUUUUGGACAAUGGGCGCAAGCCUGAUCCAGCCAUGCCGCGUGUCUGAAGAAGGCCUUCGGGUUGUAAAGGACUUUUGUCAGGGAAGAAAAGGCCGUUGCCAAUAUCGGCGGCCGAUGACGGUACCUGAAGAAUAAGCACCGGCUAACUACGUGCCAGCAGCCGCGGUAAUACGUAGGGUGCGAGCGUUAAUCGGAAUUACUGGGCGUAAAGCGGGCGCAGACGGUUACUUAAGCAGGAUGUGAAAUCCCCGGGCUCAACCCGGGAACUGCGUUCUGAACUGGGUGACUCGAGUGUGUCAGAGGGAGGUGGAAUUCCACGUGUAGCAGUGAAAUGCGUAGAGAUGUGGAGGAAUACCGAUGGCGAAGGCAGCCUCCUGGGAUAACACUGACGUUCAUGUCCGAAAGCGUGGGUAGCAAACAGGAUUAGAUACCCUGGUAGUCCACGCCCUAAACGAUGUCAAUUAGCUGUUGGGCAACUUGAUUGCUUGGUAGCGUAGCUAACGCGUGAAAUUGACCGCCUGGGGAGUACGGUCGCAAGAUUAAAACUCAAAGGAAUUGACGGGGACCCGCACAAGCGGUGGAUGAUGUGGAUUAAUUCGAUGCAACGCGAAGAACCUUACCUGGUUUUGACAUGUGCGGAAUCCUCCGGAGACGGAGGAGUGCCUUCGGGAGCCGUAACACAGGUGCUGCAUGGCUGUCGUCAGCUCGUGUCGUGAGAUGUUGGGUUAAGUCCCGCAACGAGCGCAACCCUUGUCAUUAGUUGCCAUCAUUCGGUUGGGCACUCUAAUGAGACUGCCGGUGACAAGCCGGAGGAAGGUGGGGAUGACGUCAAGUCCUCAUGGCCCUUAUGACCAGGGCUUCACACGUCAUACAAUGGUCGGUACAGAGGGUAGCCAAGCCGCGAGGCGGAGCCAAUCUCACAAAACCGAUCGUAGUCCGGAUUGCACUCUGCAACUCGAGUGCAUGAAGUCGGAAUCGCUAGUAAUCGCAGGUCAGCAUACUGCGGUGAAUACGUUCCCGGGUCUUGUACACACCGCCCGUCACACCAUGGGAGUGGGGGAUACCAGAAGUAGGUAGGGUAACCGCAAGGAGUCCGCUUACCACGGUAUGCUUCAUGACUGGGGUGAAGUCGUAACAAGGUAGCCGUAGGGGAACCUGCGGCUGGAUCACCUCCUUUCUAG